rnacentral:tRNA from 1 species
AUUCUUUUAGUAUAUGAGUAUAUUUAACUUCCAAUUAAAAGGACCCCGUGGGAAAGAAUA